UGACAUCAAUGUUCUAACCUUCCCGUGGUGAUGUCGUAAGUAAGAUAGUAAAUAUCUGAAACUAAAGAACA
rnacentral:ribozyme from 1 species